AAGCUCCCAGAAGUCACUUAUAUAUAACAAAGUAUUAUCAAGCUAGAAACAUGUAUAAUUGCAGUUUCCUGUCAAUGCAUUCUGUGAAAGAAAUAUACAAAGUUACAACAAGAGUCAAACCUACCUAGCCUUGAGCCCAACUUCUGAAUGUGAAUAAUGUUGU